rnacentral:lncRNA from 1 species
CGGGAGUCGGAGAUGAGAUCUGGCUCCCGUUGGAGCCCGGGCGAAGUCUACCUGCAAUUAAAGUCAGGGGCGAAGUCCGUCUCCCGUAGGAGUUCGGAUGAAACUUACCGAUAGUUGAAGUUGGGGACGGAGCCCGGCUCCCAUAGGAGUCCGGGCGGAGUCUACCUGCAGCCGGAGUCGGGGAUGAGGUCUGGCUCCCGUGGGAGUUCGGACGGAGUCUUCCCACAGCUGGAGUCGGAGAUGAGAUCUGGCUCUCGUAGGAGCCAGGGCAAAGUCUACCUGUAAUUAAAGUCAGGGGCG